AAGAUUUUAAGUUAUCUAAACUUUAAACCUUCAAAGUUUACUAUAUACAAUCCUAUUGUUUAAAUCUUA
rnacentral:tRNA from 1 species